rnacentral:rRNA from 1 species
UACGGGGGGGGCAAGCGUUGUUCGGAAUUACUGGGCGUAAAGGGCUCGUAGGUGGCCAACUAAGUCAGACGUGAAAUCCCUCGGCUUAACCGGGGAACUGCGUCUGAUACUGGAUGGCUUGAGUUUGGGAGAGGGACGCGGAAUUCCAGGUGUAGCGGUGAAAUGCGUAGAUAUCUGGAGGAACACCAGAGGCGAAGGCGGCUACCUGGACAAUUGCUGACGCUCAGGCACGAAAGCGUGGGGAGCAAACAGG